UCGAACUCAGANAUCCGCCUGCCUCUGCCUC
rnacentral:piRNA from 1 species